rnacentral:lncRNA from 1 species
GGAAUUCCCAACUCGGACAGGCCCAGAAUAGCCCCUGGAGGUUUGAAGAGGCCCCGUCAGAAACCCAAACAGAGCUGCCAGACGGGAAUGCCGCCCUCCCCCGUCCACACUCAUGGCCGCUGCUCAGCCCCCAGCCGCAUCCCUCCCCACGCGCGUCACGGCCCUGAGGCCAUGGAAUCCCGGUGACCGUUGGCGGGAGGGGCCGGGGACUUAAGAAGGAGGCGUCUCUCCUGGAGGCGCGCGUGAGAAGGGGCAGGGAGGGGGCGCGAGUGGUCCCCGGGCCGGUUGCCUGGGUAACGCGUGGCUCCCUUGGGCUGGCGGGAGGGGCCGGAGGCUCGCGAGGGGCGGGGGCGGCGACGGCGGCGGAGCGUAGGGGAGGGGACCGGAGAGGAGGGGAUGAGCACACGGGAGAGGAGAAGAGGGAGACCCGCCGCCUCCCUCCCUCCCUAGCUGACUUGCUCCCUCCCGGGCUGCGGCUGCUGCAAAAGCCAGCAGCGGCAGCGGGAGCUGUCCGGAGGCCGGCGUCGAGGUGAG